rnacentral:rRNA from 1 species
GUUGAUAAGGUUAAGUGAAUAAGGGCGCACGGUGGAUGCCUUGGCACUAGGAGCCGAUGAAGGACGGGACUAACACCGAUAUGCUUUGGGGAGCUGUAAGUAAGCUAUGAUCCAGAGAUUUCCGAAUGGGGGAACCCAAUAUCUUUUAUAGGAUAUUACUUUUCAGUGAAUACAUAGCUGAUUAGAGGUAGACGCAGAGAACUGAAACAUCUUAGUACCUGCAGGAAGAGAAAGAAAAUUCGAUUCCCUGAGUAGCGGCGAGCGAAACGGGAAGAGCCCAAACCAACAAGCUUGCUUGUUGGGGUUGUAGGACUCCAAUAUGGUAGUCUGUUAGUAUAGUUGAAGGAUUUGGAAAAUUCCGCUAAAGAGGGUGAAAGCCCCGUAGACGAAAUGCUGACAACACCUAGGAGGAUCCUGAGUACGGCGGAACACGAGAAAUUCCGUCGGAAUCCGCGGGGACCAUCCCGCAAGGCUAAAUACUCCCUAGUGACCGAUAGUGAACCAGUACCGUGAGGGAAAGGUGAAAAGCACCCCGGAAGGGGAGUGAAAUAGAUCCUGAAACCGUGUGCCUACAACAAGUCAAAGCUCGUUAAUGAGUGAUGGCGUGCCUUUUGUAGAAUGAACCGGCGAGUUACGAUUGCAUGCGAGGUUAAGUCGAAGAGACGGAGCCGCAGCGAAAGCGAGUCUGAAUAGGGCGAAUGAGUAUGUAGUCGUAGACCCGAAACCAUGUGAUCUACCCAUGUCCAGGUUGAAGGUGCGGUAAAACGCACUGGAGGACCGAACCCACGUACGUUGAAAAGUGCGGGGAUGAGGUGUGGGUAGCGGAGAAAUUCCAAACGAACUUGGAGAUAGCUGGUUCUCUCCGAAAUAGCUUUAGGGCUAGCCUCGGAAUUGAGAAUGAUGGAGGUAGAGCACUGUUUGGACUAGGGGCCCAUCUCGGGUUACCGAAUUCAGAUAAACUCCGAAUGCCAUUCAUUUAUAUCCGGGAGUCAGACUGCGAGUGAUAAGAUCCGUAGUCGAAAGGGAAACAGCCCAGACCACCAGCUAAGGUCCCAAAAUAUAUGUUAAGUGGAAAAGGAUGUGGGGUUGCACAGACAACUAGGAUGUUGGCUUAGAAGCAGCCACCAUUUAAAGAGUGCGUAAUAGCUCACUAGUCGAGUGACCCUGCGCCGAAAAUGUACCGGGGCUAAACAUAUUACCGAAGCUGUGGACUACACCAUUAGGUGUAGUGGUAGGAGAGCGUUCUAAGGGCGUUGAAGGUCGAUCGUGAGGACGGCUGGAGCGCUUAGAAGUGAGAAUGCCGGUAUGAGUAGCGAAAGACAGGUGAGAAUCCUGUCCACCGUAUG